UACGGGGGGGGCAAGCGUUGUUCGGAAUUACUGGGCGUAAAGGGCUCGUAGGCGGCCAACUAAGUCAGACGUGAAAUCCCUCGGCUUAACCGGGGAACUGCGUCUGAUACUGGAUGGCUUGAGUUUGGGAGAGGGAUGCAGAAUUCCAGGUGUAGCGGUGAAAUGCGUAGAUAUCUGGAGGAACACCGGUGGCGAAGGCGGCAUCCUGGACCAACACUGACGCUGAGGAGCGAAAGCCAGGGGAGCAAACGGG
rnacentral:rRNA from 1 species